rnacentral:tRNA from 1 species
GUUGCGGUAGUUUAAACAGAACACAGGUUUGAAGCACCUGGGGUAAAAUUUUAAUUUUCUGUAACA